AGUCUUAUUUUUACUGCACUUUUUUCAGUUACACACUGGUAACCCGACCAUGGAUCAGCUGCUGAGAAUAACCUGCAUCAUGUGACCAUGUACCCAGGCAAAGGCUUUAUCUUGGUACAUUGAAAGAGGUCUUGGAGACUGCACAGUGUUGGAUGGGCUGUGAGGGUCAGAACUCAAACCAGGUGAUGGAAGGAAUUGACAAGCGAGAUGUUCACUCCACCACCCUCGUUUUAUUCUAGUGUUGGCUGGGCUGUGAAAGAACUAAACCAGGUGAUGGAAGGAAUUGACGAGCACAAGACACAAGUAUCAACAGAUGUACACUCCACCACCCUCAUUUUAUCCAAGUGUUGGUUUGACUGAAGAUCAGAACUUGCAGAUCGUUGAAGGAAUUGACAUGCACAGAAGUACCAGAAGAGUAAAUAUUCACUUAACUGAACAUGUUUAACCAAGAUAAGGCAGGCAGUGUUGACAUGAAGUAAACAAAGCCCAAUGCCAGGCUAACAUUCCAUGUAAAAUGAAAAGUUUCUUGUAUUUCCUAGUGAUAAUAAAUUGGUUUAAAAGUG